UGCAUAUCAAUAAGCGGAGGAAAAGAAACCAACAGGGAUUGCCUCAGUAACGGCGAGUGAAGCGGCAAAAGCUCAAAUUUGAAAUCUAGCACCUUCGGUGUUCGAGUUGUAAUUUGAAGAUGGUAACCUUGGGUUUGGCUCUUGUCUAUGUUCCUUGGAACAGGACGUCAUAGAGGGUGAGAAUCCCGUCUGAUGAGAUGCCCAUUCCUAUGUAAGGUGCUAUCGAAGAGUCGAGUUGUUUGGGAAUGCAGCUCUAAGUGGGUGGUAAAUUCCAUCUAAAGCUAAAUAUUGGCGAGAGACCGAUAGCGAACAAGUACAGUGAUGGAAAGAUGAAAAGAACUUUGAAAAGAGAGUGAAAAAGUACGUGAAAUUGUUGAAAGGGAAGGGCAUUAGAUCAGACUUGGUGUUUUACGAUUAUCUUCUCUUCUUGAGUUGUGCACUCGUAUUUCACUGGGCCAGCAUCGAUUCGGAUGGCAAGAUAAUGGCAGUUGAAUGUGGCUUCACUUCGGUGGAGUGUUAUAGCUUCUGCUGAUAUUGCCUGUCUGGAUCGAGGGCUGCGUCUUUUGACUAGGAUGCUGGCGUAAUGAUCUAAUGCCGCCCGUCUUGAAACACGGACCA
rnacentral:rRNA from 1 species